rnacentral:misc_RNA from 1 species
GAUGAAGAACGUAGCGAAAUGCGAUAAGUAGUGUGAAUUGCAGAAUUCAGUGAAUCAUCGAAUCUUUGAACGCACAUUGCGCCCCAUGGUAUUCCGUGGGGCAUGCCUGUUCGAGCGUCAUUUACCCCCUCAAGCUCCGCUUGGUGUUGGGCGUCUGUCCCGCUUCGCGCGCGGACUCGCCCCAAAGGUAUUGGCAGCGGUCGUGCCAGCUUCUCGCGCAGCACAUUGCGCUUCUCGAGGCACCGGUGGGCCCGCGUCCAUCAAGCUCACCCCCCCAGUUUGACCUCGGAUCAGUUAGGGAUACCCGCUGAACUUAAGCAUAUCAAUAAGCGGAGGA